GCUUAGCCAUAAAAUUUGAUACACAUAUUACAUCCAUUAUCCGCCAGGGUACUACAAGCAUUAAGCUCAAAACCCAAAGGACCUGGCGGUGCUUUAAAACCCCCUAGAGGAGCCUGUUCUAUAACUGAUAAUCCCCGCUCAACCUCACCCCUUCUUGCCAAUCCCGCCUAUAUACCGCCGUCGUCAGCUUACAUUGUGAAGUCCCAAUAGUGAGCAAAAUUGGUAAAACCCUAAACGUCAGGUCGAGGUGUAGUAAAUGAAGGGGGAAGAAAUAGGCUACAUUCGUUUAUUAACGCACUACGGACUAAAUGUUGAAAAUACAUAUACAAAGGAGGAUUUAGCAGUAAGAAGAAAGUAGAGUAUUCUUCUGAAACCGGCCCUAAAGCACG
rnacentral:rRNA from 1 species